rnacentral:tRNA from 2 species
AUCUGGCUAGCUCAGUCAGUAGAGCAUGUGACUCUUAAUCUCAAGGUUGUGAGUUUGAGCCUCAUGUUGGGUG